CGCCGCGAAGGGAAGCGGGCGGCCGCCACCCUAACGAGAGACGCCGGCAGCAGACCCGCCGCGCGGCCGCCACGCCUUCCUCAGGCCGCGGCGGGGGACGCGGAGCGGCGGAUCACAUUUCUCCUCCCCAACAAUCACACGCACUCACGUCCCCAGAGGUGACACCCUCCAAACCCGCCGCUCGGCGACGCUGGGGACUGGGCCACAAAGCCAGGGACGCAGCCAUCGGCCGCGGCGCUCAAGUUGCGUGCGUGCGUGUGUUUGUGUUUGUUCCCCUUUAAUGAAAGACAAGAGGUCUCCGUAGUGACGGCCCAGGCUGCGAUUACUGCUUCCCUGGUGGCGCAGUGGUUAAGAAUCCGCCUGCCAAUGAAGGGGACACAGGUUCGAGCCCUGGUCCAAGAAGAUCCCACAUGCAGCGGAGCGAUUAAGCCUGUGCACCACAACUACGGAGCCUGUGCUCUAGAGCCCGCGAGCCACAACUACUGAGCCCACGUGCCACAACUACUGAUGCCCGCGCACCUAGAGCCUGUUCUCCACAACGACACCGCAACUAGAGAAAGCCCACGUCCAGCAACGAAGACCCAACGCAGCCAAAAUAAAUAAAAA